ACACAUGCAAGUCGAGGGGCAGCAUGGUCUUAGCUUGCUAAGGCCGAUGGCGACCGGCGCACGGGUGAGUAACGCGUAUCCAACCUGCCUUACACUCUUGGACAGCCUUCUGAAAGGGAGAUUAAUACAAGAUGUUAUCAUGAGUAAGCAUUUUCGCAUGAUUAAAGGUUUACCGGUGUAAGAUGGGGAUGCGUUCCAUUAGAUAGUAGGCGGGGUAACGGCCCACCUAGUCUUCGAUGGAUAGGGGUUCUGAGAGGAAGGUCCCCCACAUUGGAACUGAGACACGGUCCAAACUCCUACGGGAGGCAGCAGUGAGGAAUAUUGGUCAAUGGACGAGAGUCUGAACCAGCCAAGUAGCGUGAAGGAUGAAGGUUCUAUGGAUUGUAAACUUCUUUUAUACGGGAAUAAACGGAUCCACGUGUGGAUUUUUGCAUGUACCGUAUGAAUAAGGAUCGGCUAACUCCGUGCCAGCAGCCGCGGUAAUACGGAGGAUCCGAGCGUUAUCCGGAUUUAUUGGGUUUAAAGGGAGCGUAGAUGGGUUGUUAAGUCAGUUGUGAAAGUUUGCGGCUCAACCGUAAAAUUGCAAUUGAUACUGGCAGUCUUGAGUACAGUUGAGGUAGGCGGAAUUCGUGGUGUAGCGGUGAAAUGCUUAGAUAUCACGAAGAACUCCGAUUGCGAAGGCAGCUUACUAACCUGUAACUGACAUUGAUGCUCGAAAGUGUGGGUAUCAAACAGGAUUAGAUACCCUGGUAGUCCACACGGUAAACGAUGAAUACUCGCUGUAGGCGAUAUACGGUCUGCGGCCAAGCGAAAGCAUUAAGUAUUCCACCUGGGGAGUACGCCGGCAACGGUGAAACUCAAAGGAAUUGACGGGGGCCCGCACAAGCGGAGGAACAUGUGG
rnacentral:rRNA from 1 species